CAGUAGCCGCGGUAAUACGAAGGGUGCAAGCGUUAAUCGGAAUUACUGGGCGUAAAGCGUGCGUAGGCGGUUUGUUAAGUCUGUUGUGAAAUCCCCGGGCUCAACCUGGGAAUGGCAGUGGAUACUGGCUCGCUAGAGUGUGUCAGAGGAUGGUGGAAUUCCCGGUGUAGCGGUGAAAUGCGUAGAGAUCGGGAGGAACAUCAGUGGCGAAGGCGGCCAUCUGGGACAACACUGACGCUGAGGCACGAAAGCGUGGGGAGCAAACAGGAUUAGAUACCCGCGUAGUCCCUGUCUCUUAUAC
rnacentral:rRNA from 1 species